rnacentral:tRNA from 3 species
GGUAGCAUGCCAGAGUGGUUAAUGGGUGGGAUUUGAAAUCCUAUGGGUUUGCCCGCGCAGGUUCGAAUCCUGCUGCUAUCG